rnacentral:rRNA from 1 species
UACGAAGGGGGCUAGCGUUGCUCGGAAUCACUGGGCGUAAAGCGCACGUAGGCGGCUUUUUAAGUCAGGGGUGAAAUCCUGGAGCUCAACUCCAGAACUGCCUUUGAUACUGGCGACCUUGAGUCCGGGAGAGGUGAGUGGAACUGCGAGUGUAGAGGUGAAAUUCGUAGAUAUUCGCAAGAACACCAGUGGCGAAGGCGGCUCACUGGCCCGGUACUGACGCUGAGGUGCGAAAGCGUGGGGAGCAAACAGGG